ensembl:lncRNA
CUGCAGUAAUCAGACAGACCUCAGGCCGUACCAGAGAGCAGUCACACUACCUGAAGGAUUCUCAGGUUACCAGCAGGGAGGAGGCAGCGACGUGCCUCAACAGAGAUAUCAAUUGUUCAGCACUUCGGCAAACGUGUCAUAUCUACUCCCCCCCUCUGUGCGGUGGACUGGAUUACUUUGAGUGUCGGAGGAGAAACCAGGCGUCACGUCGGGGAUUCAUUCCAGAACAAACGCCCACCUCUAAGCCGCCGAGGGAGGAAAAGAAGACGAAGAAAAGGUUGGAUGAGGUUCUGCAGUCUCUUGUCUUAGAGACGCUCUCUGGGUCCAUCACAGGCUCCUGAUGAUCCUGAUUUCCACUGAAGAUGUCUGGAGGACAUUUGGGGGAUUUCCAGUACAACUCAGGAUGAGCCGUGGGAUUUCAUUUGACCUUCUGAUAAUGAUUAGAACACGUUAAGAUGAAGUGGAUCGUGACCUCCUGGCACAUGAGGAGCUCAUCUUUAAUCUCAGCCGAUGGAGAGGCGACAGCAAGUCUCCACGCCGUAAACCGAUCCGCAUCGCAGGGAGAGGGAGAGGAUUCCUGAUAUGGAUCUACCUCAGAAACCAGCCAAACAAAGCCUCACCUGUUUGCAGCGCCCUGCCUUGUUCCUCCUCCACCACCUCCUCCACCUGCUCCUCCACCUCCUCCUCCACUAGACUUCUAAAUCCACUUUGUCAGUUGGGUGCCUUCUCUCUUCUGGUUGUUUUGAUACACAGAAAUACUGGUUAGGUAGCUGUCGCUCCUUCCCUUCCAAAUACCUCCACCCUCCCUCCUCCUCCUCCUCCGGAACUGAAAUCUCCCCUCUUACCCUCCCCCCUUUCUCCAUUUUGGGUGUCCCAAAUCAGGCCCCCCGGGGCAGAUCCCAGACAUAAAGUUAGCAUUGAGG